rnacentral:rRNA from 1 species
UACGUAGGGUGCAAGCGUUGUCCGGAAUUAUUGGGCGUAAAGAGCUCGUAGGCGGUUUGUUGCGUCGGCUGUGAAAUCCCGAGGCUCAACCUCGGGUCUGCAGUCGAUACGAGCAAACUAGAGUGUUGCAGGGGAGACUGGAAUUCCUGGUGUAGCGGUGAAAUGCGCAGAUAUCUGGAGGAACACCGGUGGCGAAGGCGGGUCUCUGGGCAACAACUGACGCUGAGGAGCGAAAGCGUGGGGAGCGAACAGG